AAUGCGUAUGAAACCGUAACUUGAGGGUACAAGGAAAGGGAAUACCACUGUAGGGGUGAAAUCCGUAAGAGUGGUAAGAAUGCCGGUGGCGAAGGCGCUUUCUGGGUUACACCUGACGCUGAGGCCCGAAAGCCAGGGGAGCGAACCGGAUUAGAUACCCGGGUAGUCCUGGCCGUAAACGAUGCUCACUAGGUGUAGUAGGUCGACAGGCCUGCUGUGCUGAAGCAAACGCGAUAAGUGAGCCGCCUGGGGAGUACGUCCGCAAGGAUGAAACUCAAAGGAAUUGACGGGGGCCCGCACAAGCGGUGGAGCGUGUGGUUCAAUUCGAAGCUAAGCGAAGAACCUCACCAGGUCUUGACAUAUAAGUGGUAGUGAAGGGAAACCG
rnacentral:rRNA from 1 species